rnacentral:lncRNA from 1 species
UUACCUGGAGCUGAUACCAAAUACAGAGUACAUAAAAUCCCACAUAAGGGCAAGGAGUGUUUCUUAGCAGAACAAAGUGUUGGGAGGAGGGCAGAAGAAGGUUAUUCAUCUCAUCUCACUGGCCCCCUGUGAGGCACUGUCCUAGCCUUUGAGGACAACGGUCACCCUUUGAGCAGUGGGGCCUGAGAAGCAAGAGUCCACCUGACUGUUUCAAGCGCACAUGCUCAGAAAGCCUGGGUGCCUUAGGUCAGCAUGGGCCCGCCGCCGUUUUCUCUUUGCCGUCUGUGUAGCCACUUUGACUGCAGACAUUGUUCCUGGGGGCUAAAGUUGAAAUGUGGUGCUAUCUGAGUGAGCCCCAGACUGAAGCAAUGGUGCAGUUUUUUGGCUCCUGGGACUGGGACAAAGUGGUUUGUGGCUCCAAACCCAGGUGCUCUAGUUGGGAGGGAGACACCCAGAAAGCCCCUGGAGGUUCUCAGGAAGGUGCUAGAAGGUCACUCGUCUUUCCACCCACACUUGCCAGACGGGGUCUAGUGCUUUAUCAUAAGUAUUGCUUGCCUUCUGCAUUUUGUUUUUUAAUAGUAAGGAUCACCCAGGACCAGCAUGCUCCUGAGUACUAUUUAUGACACUCGACACUUUUGAUAAUCGAUUGGAUUUUUAGAGAAUUGUUUUCUAUGACACGUGAGGCUUCUGUUUAAGAUGUUAGCAUUACUUAGAGUCAAGUAAGACAGAAGAAAAAGUGAAUACUAACUCACUGCAAAACCCUGCUCAACCAAAGUCCCUAAACUGCCUUAAUUCUCAGAGGGAGUUCCUGCCCAGGUGGAAGCCAGUCCCCUGCCUCACAGUCAUCCAGUCUAGAUUUUUCUAGAUUUGGUGAUGUAAGACAUUCUUACCAAAGAAAUCAGUUCUGCCCCCAUUGAGCUCACUCACUUCAUGCGUUUGCUUAUUUCCUUUGAAAACUAUGGUGAGGAAGUGAUCAGAGUGGGUGUUUGGUGGAGUAGCAGCAGCACAGCAUUUAGGACUGAUUUAGCAGUGGGUCUGCAGCCAAUUAGUGUAGUUUGAGAGAGGAGCUUUCCAUCUUUGGGUUUGGUGCGGGGAGGUGCAUCUCUAUAAACUGGGGAUUUAAUUAGGUCAUCAAAGGACACAUCCAAUUGAAAACAUAAACCGAAAUAAAGCACAACAACAUCCUUUGUGCUAAAGCCACAAUGAAGCAAGCUUCCAGAAGUGACCCCAUAACUGGCCACCUAUUGGCUCUAGAAAUAGAGCUUUCCAGCCUUCAGAGCUUUGUUAUUACUUCAUGUCCCAUAGAUCCUCUUUUGUCGAGUUUUCUUUUCAUCUCCUGCCAGAAAACCUUGGUGUUUAAGAAGUCAGGUCCAGCACCAUUGAUUUGACACUUGGGUAGCAUUGAGAAGGCAGAGAGGGUUGCUCUGCCCUGUGUUUGCAGGUCUGGGGACCCCACAGCUCUGCCCCACAGGCAGGAUGCCUGGCCCUGGUUGGUGAAUGUGAAGUCUGGGGGGUGCCUUUCCUUGCUCUACUGUCUCUACAUCUGUGUAAAUAGGAUUGUUUCACUCCCAUGUUCUCUGUGUCACAGACUGUUCAAGUAUCAUGCGAGCCUCUGUGUCUGCCUUGGAUUUAAUUUGAAAGUUGUUCUCUUCGUGGAAAAAAAAACCAAAUUAAUGUACAGAAUAAUAAAGAACAUUCCUGGGC